rnacentral:rRNA from 1 species
AGUGAACGCUGGCGGUAGGCCUAACACAUGCCAGUCGAACGGCAGCACAGUAAGAGCUUGCUCUUACGGGUGGCGAGUGGCGGACGGGUGAGGAAUACAUCGGAAUCUACUUUUUCGUGGGGGCUAACGUAGGGAAACUUACGCUAAUACCGCAUACGACCUACGGGUGAAAGCAGGGGAUCUUCGGACCUUGCGCGAUCGAAUGAGGCGAUGUCGGAUUAGCUAGUUGGCGGGGUAAAGGCCCACCAAGGCGACGAUCCGUAGCUGGUCUGAGAGGAUGAUCAGCCACACUGGAACUGAGACACGGUCCAGACUCCUACGGGAGGCAGCAGUGGGGAAUAUUGGACAAUGGGCGCAAGCCUGAUCCAGCCAUACCGCGUGGGUGAAGAAGGCCUUCGGGUUGUAAAGCCCUUUUGUUGGGAAAGAAAAGCAGCAGGUUAAUACCCCGCUGUUCUGACGGUACCCAAAGAAUAAGCACCGGCUAACUUCGUG